CCUACGGGGGGCAGCAGUGGGGAAUAUUGGACAAUGGGCGAAAGCCUGAUCCAGCCAUGCCGCGUGUGUGAAGAAGGCCUUCGGGUUGUAAAGCACUUUCAGUGGGGAAGAAAGCCUUGGGGCUAAUACCCUCGAGGAAGGACAUCACCCACAGAAGAAGCACCGGCUAACUCCGUGCCAGCAGCCGCGGUAAUACGGAGGGUGCGAGCGUUAAUCGGAAUUACUGGGCGUAAAGCGCGCGUAGGCGGUCUGAUAAGCCGGUUGUGAAAGCCCCGGGCUCAACCUGGGAACGGCAUCCGGAACUGUCAGGCUAGAGUGCAGGAGAGGAAGGUAGAAUUCCGGGUGUAGCGGUGAAAUGCGUAGAGAUCGGGAGGAAUACCAGUGGCGAAGGCGGCCUUCUGGACUGACACUGACGCUGAGGUGCGAAAGCGUGGGUAGCAAAAAGGAUUAGAUACCCGGGUAGUC
rnacentral:rRNA from 1 species